ensembl:snRNA U6 U6 spliceosomal RNA
AACAUGGCCCCUGCACGAGGAAGACACACGAAUUCAUGAAGUGUUCCAUAUUUUU